UGGAGUAGGGAGAGAAGUCUCUGGAUUUACGAGACUCUCACUGCAGAAAGGAGGACGUUCACCCAGACAGGGAACCCCAAGUCCAUAGAAGCAGCUUCCAAACCGCGCAUGCCUCCCUCACUUCCUUCGGGAUGCAGGCUCCCGCGAGAGCAAAAGAAAGUGUUUCCCUGUCACCAUGACGACGGAGCCCUGGGCUCCCGACGCAGCAGUCGCUGCUUCCUGUUUUGGUGGGCUCUCUGCAUUUCGCAUUCUCGUUGCUGCGGUGAUAAAGACGGCUUCGUCUCUCCCUUCUGAGGAUUGUAUCCUGCGCUCCCGCACGGCACUGUAGCCUCCAGUCUCGGGCAUCCAUCUGCGCACACCCACUUCUGUGGCAAUGCCUAUUGCUUUGCUCUGGUACCACUGAUGCUGUGAACCAGCGUUCCCUCUAACAGGAAUUCCCAGGUGUUGUUGACUACAACUCCCAUAAUCCCUAGCCAAAGGCCAUUGCAGCUGGGAAUGCUGGGAGUUGUAGUCAACAUCUGGGAAUCCUUGUUAGAGGGAACAUUGCUGUAAACGCCUGUGACUGAGGUGUCAUCCAUAUGACCCGGGAUCGCAGUACUGUAAGGUUAAGAUGCAAUAGAAAGGGCAACUUGUUGCAAACAGAAUUAGAAAGUCAUAAAAUGUAAUGAUAAUUGGAGUGUUGGACAGAGUCAGUCACCAUGACCAGGCACAGGAUAAGCACCAUGCACACAACCUUUGAACAUCCUUAAGGACAUUAUAUUACUGUCAAAGUUAACCCCCGUAAAGAAGCACAUUUGCAACCAAGAUUCAAGGGAGAUUCUUUAAGUGUUGGCAGCUUUACCAUCAACUAAUUCCUUGAGUCCAUCUUCAGCUUCUGCCUCCUCCCUCCAAAGAGAAGAGUCUGGAAUCUGAACCAUAUCACCAACACCAGUCAGAGGCCAGAAAUCUGCCCUGUACAUACCAACAGAUCCGAAAGGCUAAGGACAGAAAUACCUAAGUUGUGAACCACAGAGUGAUUUCUCCCAGUGCUACCAAAGCAGCAGUCAGAAAGGAAUUGAGGAAGGCAGAGCUUCAACCAUCAUUUACAGUGGUCACGCUGAGGGUGGAGCUGGAGGAAUGCCACAUGGAGUGGAGGAAUGCCACAGCUGCCCCAGGGCUGUGGAAUGCACUCCCGGCAGAAAUCUGUAAUCUGAAUUCAUUGCUGGCCUUCAGGAGAGCCCUUAAAAUCUAUAUGUUUGGUCUGGCCUUCCUGGGUUUUUAAUUUGUUGUAAAUUGUUUUUAACUGUUCUAAGUGUUCAGCCUGGUCCUCCAGAGUUUUUAACUGUUUAAAUGUUUUAACUGUAAAUUAAUUUUAUGCUGUUUUUAUAGUUUUGAUUUUAACUAUUAAUUGAUUUUAAUUGUUUUUAUUUUGAUGUAAACCACCAUGAGCCUUUUAUGGAAGGGCAGCAUAUAAAUUGAAUGAAUGAAAAAAUAAAUGAAUUAACAAAUAAAUAAAAUAUAGAAAGGAUGGAGAAAUAGAUCCAAAUAAAGCUUUUCAGCCAGACCAAUGGAGAACAA